rnacentral:rRNA from 1 species
UAGCAUAUCAUUUGACGUUAGCUGCAGAAGAAGCACCGGCUAACUCCGUGCCAGCAGCCGCGGUAAUACGGAGGGUGCGAGCGUUAAUCGGAAUUACUGGGCGUAAAGCGCAUGCAGGUGGUUUGUUAAGUCAGAUGUGAAAGCCCGGGGCUCAACCUCGGAAUUGCAUUUGAAACUGGCAAACUAGAGUACUGUAGAGGGGGUAGAAUUUCAGGUGUAGCGGUGAAAUGCGUAGAGAUCUGAAGGAAUACCGGUGGCGAAGGCGGCCCCCUCGGACAGAUACUGACACUCAGAUGCGAAAGCGUGGGGAGCAAACAGGAUUAGAUACCCUGGUAG